ACAUGUGCCGGACACACCUUUGUUCGACACCAGACCAUUUCUUUCACUCACGGUCGAUCCAGCAACCAGUGAAGACCGUAUCCGUCUCUUCGCACGGACAGCGCCGUAAGCCGAAAUGUGUGGCCGCGGGAAGGGCAAGCAAGCGGCCGGGGAAGAGUGCCAAGAGUUACCACCCGCGACAACGUCCAAGGCAUCGCCAUACAAGCCUUCUGUCUAACUGAGAGCCGUCAAGAAAACCACCGGGCACAUCUACGAGGAGAUUUGCUGUGUUUUUCAAGCGGUGGACGAGGCAGGCUAUGCGAACGUACCGACCGGCCAUGUUGUACAGCAUAUGCACUACCUGAACAACAGUGAAGAAAGAUUCGACUGCUGACUGACUACGGUAAAAUCACCACGCGGUGGAUGGUGAUGUGCAUACCGGCGGGCCCCGUGUUGUAAGCAGUUCUGAUCCUGAAGGAUAACAGAAACUCAACUGUUGACUGGGUGACAUCGCCACUUGACAGAAGCUGGGAAGGAUACAUCUCUCUACAGCUUCCACAAUCCAGAGAUCAACAUGAACACCAGCUACCUGCACGGGAUUUACUGCUGCCGUGAUCAAGCCUGGAUUUCGACAGCGAUGUCAAUGUUGAUGGCGGGGUGACUAAGCGCCUGAACAAACGCCACAUCAAAGCCCUAGAUGACCCAGUGUUCGUGUGUGCACCCUGCCAGAGGACCCAGUGUUCGUGUGUGCACACCCUGCCAGUGGACCCAGUGUUCGUGUGUGCACACCCUGCCAGUGGACCCAGUGUUCGUGUGUGCACCCUGCCAGUGGGCCCAGUACACCCUACCGGAGUGGAAGUCAAGUGAUUGUUGUAUUCAGGUUCCUAAGGGCUUGUAUGACCCUUUCCUUAUAGCGUUGACAGACUGUUUUACCUUCCCGUUAUUUGUAGAGAAAGCGUCUUAUUCACGUAGUUUGUGGCAAGGCGACUGAAUUUUGCGUAAAUGCCUUUCUUGAUGUUAGCGUAAUACGCAUGGUAUUCUUCUGAAUUCAACGUAAAGCAUUAUCGCAACAACCAAACCCUCUUUUAGCAGCCUUUUGUAAGCAACAUAUUUAUUUUUCUCAAAAUGUAUUAAUCUUUUCCAGUACAGGACUGACGAUGGCUAGCACUAAAUUGUUUUUUGUUUAUAUGCCUUUCCACUGACAAGUCGUUUGUUCUCACCUUGAGCCGUUUUCAUUUCACGUGUUUUGCUUUCGUUCUUGUACAACAGCGGUCAACAGUUUAGAAUUUAGCAAAUGUUGAUAUUGCCUGUGUAUUUGGUGCUGAGGUAGCUUUGGGGUCUUUUGUACUUGAAGUCCUGUGGAAAGUUCCCUGCUGAAGGCUUAGGCUGACGUUCAGACACUUGAUAUCGCGUACUAACUCACACACGCGCACUCACAUUAACACUACACGUUAACGUCUAACAGCUAGUGGCACUUUGCACAUUAACGUCUACCACCAUCACCCAGAACAGUAACACAUUAAUCCACUAACAUUAGGAACAAAUGUCUCAGCCUUAAAGAAAAAAGCAGCAAAAUAACUUUCCACGGGACUUCAAGUACGGAAGGCUUCAGGUUACCCCACCAAUGCACUGACGAUGUCAACAUUUGCUGAUUCUGAACUGUUCGCCACUUUUGUCAAGGACUGGAGGCAGAAUACGUGAAUACAUGAGCUUCGAGAGCAAAGGUCUUUUCGAAAAAGGCUCUUUAUAUAUUUGUAAGCUUUGCUGAAAAGUCAUCGACAGUUCUGUACUUUAGUAAUGAUAUUGUGUAAUAUUUUUAAGCAGUAAUGAUGGAUUAAUUAGUUUUCCUAGCUAACAUGUAAGUUUCAUUUGUAUUUGGCUGUGUAUGGUACUGACUACUGUAAAGUAUCGCUUGCUAAUAUACUGCUUGAAUUCAGUUGUUGUUAGUGACCAUUGUAGAACGUAAACUAUGUAGAAUAAAUUAUAAACGUCUAACUACUGUUUUGAGCCCUAUCAUGGAAAUCAAGAAACAGAAAACUUGCCUACGUGUACCUAAAUGUUAUGGAGUCAUUUGCCUUGGGCAAAUUUACUUGUCUUUUACUUGGCAAAAAAAUGAAGAAAGGUUGCUCACCUCACUUCGAAAAUGCACUUCAUGUACCAGAUUCAAGUCCCAUAUGUAAACGUAGUGUAGAUAGAAAAAAAAAAUUCACUGCCGCCUCUGACAACAUAUACGAUUGUCCGUAGUCUGCAAACUUUGUUGUGUUGUCACACUAUACUAGAGUGACUGAAAAUAAAUGAAUGCUUGUUUUGUGUCCAUUGAUUUAUAUCAUAAGCAGUGAAUAAAAGUCUUUUGUUCUCAUUUAGCCUU